AGUCUAAGGCUGGGGCCUCCUGCAGCCCCGAGUGGGCUCUCCCUGAGUGGGGAGGUGAGUUUUCAGAGAGCAAAGCUCCUUAGCUGGACAGACUGAGCAGGAGAGACUCCAAGUGGGCAGAUGUUAUCUCUCACCAGAGUUUCAAACAGACUCCUGGUCACUCACUUUGCUCCGUAAAUGACUACCCUUCUUGCCAGUAGAA
rnacentral:lncRNA from 1 species